GACGAACCGUGCAAACGUUAUUCGGAAUCACUGGGCUUAAAGGGCGCGUAGGCGGCUUGCCAAGUCAGGGGUGAAAUCUUUCGGCUUAACCGGAAAAGUGCCUCUGAUACUGGCAGGCUCGAGGGAGGCAGGGGCAUGUGGAACUUCCGGUGGAGCGGUGAAAUGCGUUGAUAUCGGAAGGAACGCCGGUGGCGAAAGCGACGUGCUGGACCUCUUCUGACGCUGAGGCGCGAAAGCUAGGGGAGCGAACGGG
rnacentral:rRNA from 1 species